GCAGUCGUGGCCGAGUGGUUAAAGCGAUGGACAAGAAAUCCAUUGGGGUCUCCCCGCACAGGUUCGAAUCCUUUCGACUGCG
rfam:Ixodes scapularis strain Wikel colony gcontig_1107728726786, whole genome shotgun sequence.